AAAGAGAAGCCCGGAGAGGCUGAAGUUUCCGCGGAGGGCACCGUCGGGGAGACGCAGCCCGGGAGGACGGAAGGGUUGGGCUCGCUACCUCUGCACACCGGCGAGCCGGGGCUCCUUCUCUCAGAGCAAAACUACAAUUAUUUAAGUUGAAAGCCCAGAACAUUUGAAAUGCCAAUCAACCAGGAUCCCCACUUCACGACGCUCCUGGUCAGGAUACAAGCAGCUAGAACACAGGUAUGCAAAGGUGAUGAGGGAGAAGAGAGGACGCUGACAGAGGGACACAAAGAUGGCAUCCAGGAUGAAAGGACUCACAACCUGUUUGGUACGUAGAACAGGUAUUGCAGUUCCACUUUAUACAUGAAGAAAAUGAAGCUGAGAGAAUGGCUUUCCCAAAAUGCUUGGCUAGCUAGGACUUGAAUCCAGAUCUCUUGAUUCUAAUUCCAGUAAUCAGAAUUUCCAGUAAUUUCCACUGCAUCACGUUGCACUAUACCUUUAACGCUCUCAUGUCCAUUCUUACCUUAAAACCUGGCCUUGGACAGUUUCUUAAUUGCUAUUGUACCUUGCCAAUCCACCCUACACGCUCCUCUAUUCACCUUCCCAAACCCAACUGUGCUCAUGCUCUGUAGAGGAUGGAGUCUGCAUAAGAGUCUCGUGCACCCGAGGGCUCAGUUUGCAAACAGAAACACCAACGCUCAAGCUGCAGCCAUGUUUGCCAUUUAGUGAACUCAGGCCUGCUUCUGUUUUCUUAGGGCCUCUAGUGAGGAAAGACACAAGGAAUGAGGAGAGAGCAGCCACCAGAAAGGGAGGGAAAUGACGGUUGGGGUUUCUGGAAAACACCUAAGAUAGAGCUGCAAGGCUAGAAACAGCUAGAGCUUUGGCAUUAUUAUUCCCUGCACAACCCCUCCCUCCAUUCAGCUUUCCAAAUUCCCCUAACUGAAAUAAAGCCCAAGAGUCUUCCCUAGAAAAUCAUCAGUACAUGAUAAACUCUUAGAGCAAACCUAAACCUGGCACCUUUGUUUUAUCUAGGGUGAAAUCUUUGCUUUUUAGUGUGCUGGACAAUCAGUAUAAAAUCUUACCAUGGGUGAGUGUCUGGUACAAAUAUUCGUUACUUGUGAACACAAUAGUUAUUUUAAAAAUUCAGCUCCCUCUGACCUUAAGUUUUUUUGCUACUGUAGACUGUGAUGCAAAUUAAGGCAUGUCUAUUCUUAUUUCAAAGUCUGCUGCAUAAAAUAAGUGUAUGCUUUUCAAAGCAAUUGACAGCCUAAUGCUCCACAUUUAACUACAACAAAUCAACACUUCGCCGGUUUAUUUCAUUAUUAUUUAACUAAUUCAUUUAAAAAUUUAUCAAGAAAAAAAUGUAAAUUUCAUAGUUUCUGGUCUUAAAAAAGAUAAUUCUAAUGUUGCAAAUUAUAUGCAAAGCAGUUUCAAUAUUGUUUUUCUACAAAAGAUCACGAAAUUUUUUAAAUGCAUUAAAGUUAACAUAAAUAUAACUGUGCAGUUCCUUAUUUUGAAAGCAGCUCUCUCAUAAGCUAAAUCAUCCUCAAACUUGUACUUUUUUGCAUUGGUUACAAAAAUAAUUAUUCUGUGGUAGAGCAUCUUAUAUUUCCUAGAACUGAACAAUAUUGUGAAACAGCAAAAUCUUGCAGACCAGAAUUACAGUGGUAUUUCUGCCUUUAAGUAUUAAAGAAAAAAGUCUAAAUUUAAGGUGACCCCCCCCACCCCGUCCCCCUUUCUAAGGGCUUCUUCUGUUAUAUUUAAUCCACUUUCACACAGUUUUUCUUAAUUACACUACAGCUGUAUGGUAAGGCACAACUGACCACUUCCGUCAUGAAAACAAACUGUACCCCACCAUCCAAAGUUCUUGAUUAAAAAGCAAAUGUUUUUGUGAGCCCAGAGAAAACGGCGCAGCUGCUCCAUUUCACGAGGCAGGCACCUCCACUCCAUUCAGCUGUGAAGAAUGGCAAUGACUGUAAAUUGUUCUUCCUGAUCGGUUCCACAAUAAAAACAAACCACACUA